rnacentral:rRNA from 1 species
AUUGAACGCUGGCGGCAUGCUUUACACAUGCAAGUCGAACGGUAACAGGUUAAGCUGACGAGUGGCGAACGGGUGAGCAAUGCAUCGGAACGUGCCCGGUCGUGGGGGAUAACGCAGCGAAAGCUGCGCUAAUACCGCAUACGAUCUAAGGAGGAAAGCGGGGGACCGUAGUGCCUCGCGCGAUCGAAGCGGCCGAUGUGAGAUUAGGUAGUUGGUGGGGUAAAGGCUCACCAAGCCAACGAUCUGUAGCUGGUCUGAGAGGACGACCAGCCACACUGGAACUGAGACACGGCCCAGACUCCUACGGGAGGCAGCAGUGGGGAAUUUUGGACAAUGGGCGAAAGCCUGAUCCAGCAAUGCCGCGUGCAGGAAGAAGGCCUUCGGGUUGUAAACUGCUUUUGUACGGAGCGAAAAGGUCUCCUCUAAUACAGGGGGCUCAUGACGGUACCGUAAGAAUAAGCACCGGCUAACUACGUGCCAGCCGCCGCAGUAA